rnacentral:misc_RNA from 1 species
CACACACACACACACACACACGUGAGAGAGAGAUAAGUUUCAUUUGUGUGUGUCGUGGAGGCGUUGUCUUUCCCUGUGUGGCAGGAAAAGUGCAAAGGUAAGAUCUUGCUUGUUUUUAAUAACGUUAUACGGCUAGAAGGCAGCAGGGGCAGACAGGGAAUUUCUUGAGAUUAUAUCAAAGAAUAAAGUGAUUGAAGAGAGUAAGGUAUUGAGAUGAAUCGCAUAUGAUUCAGACUUCACACCAAACACAGCAGAUAGUAGAUUCAGUAGAUGGGACGCGGGACCAAAAAUAUUUUGGGAACUUUUUAAAAAGAAGACCAUCAAAAGUUUUCAGGAUCUAAAAAAUCGGUAUGGAUUAAACAAUCAAGAUUUAUACAGAUAUCUACAGAUGCGGCAUUAUAUGGAGAAAACUAUAAAAAAGUUUAAUUCAGAUGAGCCUGAGUCAGGAAUCAUUAAGUUAUUCAUCUCAGCAUAUGAUUCAGACCAGGGAAAGAAACUAAUCACAAAACUAUAUAAAGAAGUGGAAAGAUUAAAGGGUAACAAUAUGACAUAUAUAAAAGAAAAGGGGGGAAAAGAGGCUGGGUGGCAGUUAUCAGAGGAGGAAUGGGACAAGGUAAAUGAAGGACAGUGGAAAACAACAUGCUCCCUCUCAUGGAGAGAAUAUGGUUGGAGGAACAUUGUAAGAUACUUUAUUACACCAACACAACAGAAAUCUCAAGACACACGACGUUGGAGACUGUGUGGGGAAAAUAAGGCCAACCAUUUUCAUAUCUUUUGGGGAUGCCCUUGUAUUAUACCUUUUUGGCAAGAGUUAAAGAAGAGUAUGGAAACAAUUCUGAAAGUGCAAAUUCCACUUUCAUUUGAAGUUUUAUAUUUGGGAAAAGAGAACCAGGAGAUUAAAUACAUAUUUCGAAUAAUGGUGGUGGUGGCUAAAAAGGCCAUCACCAGAAAAUGGCUAAAAAAAGAUCCACCAAAAAUAGAGGAUUGGGUAGAUGUAAUGCUCGAUAUAUAUAGAAUGGAGAAGCUGACUUUCUCAGCUAGACUAAAAUCAGAAACUUUUAAAAACUACUGGGAAAACUGGAUUGAUUUUGUGUCUCCAUUGAGAGUAGACUUUGUGCAAUAAGGACAGUGUGUAUUGCAGAGUGUUGACCCCCUUGGUUCAGGCUACAAACUUGUUUAUUGUUCAUUUAUUUAUUUGAUAUGUUUACCCCAAUCAGGAGACAAGGAACAAUGCAGGAGAGGUGUGAAAAUAAGGACAAGAGUGAAAAAGCGGUUCAUUUUACUUCACAUUUACUCUACUGUAACUUUACUUGAGAAUUCAUGUCCAAUUAUGUCUCUGCUCUGCGGUGGAAGUAUAGGAAUGUUUUAUACUGUUGUAAAAUUAUACACAUUAUGUAAAAUAUUGAUGGAAUAUUGAUAUGUGGAAUCAAUAAAAAAGAUAAUU